rnacentral:rRNA from 1 species
CUGGCGGCAGGCCUAACACAUGCAAGUCGAGCGCUACCUUCGGGUGGAGCGGCGGACGGGUUAGUAACGCGUGGGAACGUACCCAGAUCUAAGGAAUAGCCACUGGAAACGGUGAGUAAUACCUUAUACGCCCUUCGGGGGAAAGAUUUAUCGGAUUUGGAUCGGCCCGCGUUAGAUUAGAUAGUUGGUGGGGUAAUGGCCUACCAAGUCUACGAUCUAUAGCUGGUUUUAGAGGAUGAUCAGCAACACUGGGACUGAGACACGGCCCAGACUCCUACGGGAGGCAGCAGUGGGGAAUCUUGGACAAUGGGCGCAAGCCUGAUCCAGCCAUGCCGCGUGAGUGAUGAAGGCCUUAGGGUCGUAAAGCUCUUUCGCCAGAGAUGAUAAUGACAGUAUCUGGUAAAGAAACCCCGGCUAACUCCGUGCCAGCAGCCGCGGUAAUACGGAGGGGGUUAGCGUUGUUCGGAAUUACUGGGCGUAAAGCGUACGUAGGCGGAUUAGUCAGUCAGAGGUGAAAUCCCAGGGCUCAACCCUGGAACUGCCUUUGAUACUGCUAGUCUUGAGUUCGAGAGAGGUGAGUGGAAUUCCAAGUGUAGAGGUGAAAUUCGUAGAUAUUUGGAGGAACACCAGUGGCGAAGGCGGCUCACUGGCUCGAUACUGACGCUGAGGUACGAAAGUGUGGGGAGCAAACAGGAUUAGAUACCCUGGUAGUCCACACCGUAAACGAUGAAUGCCAGUCGUCGGGCAGUAUACUGUUCGGUGACACACCUAACGGAUUA